UGCAUCGGCCUGGAAUCGAACCCGGGCCGCCCGCGUGGCAGGCGAGAAUUCUACCACUGAACCACCGAUGC
rnacentral:tRNA from 1 species